rnacentral:rRNA from 1 species
AUUGAACGCUGGCGGAAGGCCCAACAAAUGCAAGUCGAACGAGCGGCGGAAGGGUGAGUAAUGUCUGGGAAACUGCCUGAUGGAGGGGGAUAACUACUGGAAACGGUAGCUAAUAACGCAUAAGCUCAGAGGGGCCCAGAUGGGAGUAGCUGGUGGGUGGGGUAACGGCACACCAAGGCGACGAUCCAUAGCUGGUCUGAGAGGAUGACCAUCCACACUGGACCUGAGACACGGUCCAGCUUCCUACGGGGUGCCGCAGUGGUGACUAUUGCUCAAUGGGCGCAAGCCUUAUGCAGCCAUGCCGCGUGUAUGCAGACGGCCUUCGGGUUGUAAAGUACUUUCAGCGGGGAGGCGUUACCCGCCGAAGAAGCACCUGCUAACUCCGUGCCAGCCGCCGCGGUAAUAC